rnacentral:rRNA from 1 species
CCUACGUGUGGCUGCAGUGAGGAAUAUUGGUCAAUGGGCGGGAGCCUGAACCAGCCAAGCCGCGUGAGGGAAGAAGGUACAGCGUAUCGUAAACCUCUUUUGUCAGGGAACAAAGGCGGGGACUAGUCCCCGGAUGAGGGUACCUGAAGAAAAAGCAUCGGCUAACUCCGUGCCAGCAGCCGCGGUAAUACGGAGGAUGCGAGCGUUAUCCGGAUUUAUUGGGUUUAAAGGGAGCGUAGGCCGGCUUUUAAGUCAGCUGUGAAAGUCCGCGGCUCAACCGUGGAAUUGCAGUUGAAUAUGGAGGCCUUGAGUGCACACAGGGAUGCCGGAAUUCAUGGUGUAGCGGUGAAAUGCUUAGAUAUCAUGAAGAACUCCGAUCGCGAAGGCAAGUGUCCGGGGUGCAACUGACGCUGAGGCUCGAAAGUGCGGGUAUCAAACAGGAUUAGAUACCCCAGUAGUC